GGGGAGUUGGCUCAGUGGUAGAGUGUUUGCCUUGCAUGCAUGAGGCCCUGGGUUUGAUUCCUCA
rnacentral:tRNA from 1 species